CGUGCGGCCUCUGCCUGCGCUGGUUGGUUUUGUGGAGCUCCGUACACGUGCGGGGUGACUUGAAAAUAAGGCAUUUUUCACCUUCCUGAAGAGAAGAGAGUGACAGUGUGUAUGUGGAAUUGUCAGGUGCCUUCACCUGAAUGAGAAAUCUGUUUGCAUCAGGACUUCAGAUCUCUAACAGCCUGGUGUCACACAUAGCAAAGACAUUUACGUUCUGGUGAGAGACUUAAGAAUGCUGGGAAUUGAACUCAAGGCCUGAUGCAUGCUAGAUAAGCAUUCUACCACUUACCUGUACAUCUAGCCCUAAAUCUUCUGUUUCAAGGUAUUGGGGAUCAAACUGAAGACCUUGCAGAUUUUAGGCAAGCACUUUACCAUUGAGCUGCUGCCCGCACUCCCAGUCCCCCCAGUCCUUUACCCAAAAACUUCUUACUUUGAAACAUGUAUGAAAAUUGUCUAGGUUGACUGGGUGGCUUGCAGCAAUCUGGAGGCUCUACUCUGGCUGGCAGUUGGCAUAAGCUUACUGCCGUAAACCUCAACAGGGCAUCUUUUCAUAUGGCUUGGAAUUUUCAGUGUGGCAUUUAGAUUCCAAGUGGAUGAAAGAAGAUACUAAAGGUUACAUGUCAUCUCCACAUUCUCUUGAUCUACAGGUCCCUUCUGGAUGCAAAGACAAAAGAAAUUAAUUCCACCACCAUUCCAUGAAAGGAAUGGCAGGCAGAGUGAAGCAAGGAGUACUUUGUGUAGUAUGUGUGGCUUGUUGGUUUCUCUGCACCUUUUGUAGAGCUGCCAGCAGUGCUACGUUGGGGCAGGGCAUCCAGAGGUGGACAUUUGGAAGUGGCUCUGGUUCAUUAGAGCCACUACCAGGAGGAUUAGGGAAGAAUGUACCAUUUUCAGUGGAAAACAAGUGACAGUUAAUGGUUAUGAUACCCUUGGAUUUGCUGCAUCUUUUAUAGUAAGACACCAGCUGCUUAAAAAGGUGUUUUAUUUCAUCCAUUAAUCAGAUAUGAAGAAUGUUUGAAGAGGGGCACUUCGGAAAAUGGAUCAAAGUUUUAUUUUGGUUUUUUUGUUUUGUUUUGUUUUGUUUUUUGGUGGGACUGGGGUUUGUACUCAGGGCUUUGUGUUUGCAAAGCAGGCACUCUACUGGAUCAAACUCUUGAACUCUCAGCAUAGUAUAUGUUUGUAAAUAAACUCAUGCAGUACCAGAAUUCAUGACCAUCUUUGUCACAAGAAUGAUAAACAUAAGUAACGUGUUAUGUAUAAAAGACACUUCAGAAAAAAUAAGAAAUGGCUGAUAUAAUAGUUACUUUUUUAAAUGUAGACAAGAGAUCAGGAUAUACUUAGCUGACAUUCAGUGUCAACAAAGUGGUAAAGUAUAAUGGGCUUAGUUCUUGUUGCCUUAUGGAAGCUUCAAUUUGAACAAUUGUAAAUGCAUAAAAAUCUUACAACAAAUAGGGAAGUCAGGUGAGAUUAUAACACAUGGGUGUGGUAUAGAAAUAAAAAAAGAUGUAUUAAAGAUGUUAGAAAAGACAGCUUGAUGUUCUCCCAAUCCCAGGCUGUACAACUCGGGUGAUUUGCAUGGAGGAGAGUAAAAUGCGCACCAGAUUGCCUUGGAUCUCAUCAGCAGCUGUACAGUAAAAUUCAAUGAUUGGGCAGGUGCCAGUAUGGCUCCACACUCUAAGCCAAUACCUGUACACCCAGCCUCAUCCUGAUGCCAGGUUGGCAUCUGUAAGCUUAGGCUUCAGAGUAGGCUCUGAAGUAGGGUCUAGAGCCCCUGUACUGUGUACCCAUGUGCCAAGCUAGCUUGCUCACAAGAUGAACUAUGUGGUCUUCCCAGAAUCUCUGGAUGAGGUGACUGACAGAGGAAGGGGUUUUUCUGCUGAAAUCUGUAAGACUGAAAUAAGUAGCCAUAUAGGGUCCUAUAUGCUCGGCAUCCUAGCACUUCAAGGUGGAAGACUGGGUAAUGAAGAGUUGGAGGUUAACUUGGACUACAAGAGCAAGACCCUUCCUCAAAAGAAAAAUACUUAAAUGCACAGACACCAACCCAUGACUACACCAAACAAAACAAAUCAGCAGUAGCCAACUAUAAAAAAUAAUUUUAAAAACCCAAGUACUUGAGCUAAAAAUGAUAUGGCUGAACUAAAAAUUUCAGUGACAGACUCAAAAAAUAAAGCAAGCUUAAAGGUCAUUAAAGACUGGAAGAGCACUUGAACUAGGAGUCCAAGGCCAGUCUGGGUAACAGUGAGACUUUUAGUUUAGAAUAAAAAGUGAAGUCUUUUAAAAGUUACGGAAUACCACUGCCAAACAAACACAUGCAUUGCAAGAACAGAGAAAGCAAAAGUUUAUUAAAAUGUGGUUUGGUGUUAAGUACCAUAGCAAACUGGAAAGGAAUUCAUGGUGGAGAGCUUUAAAAACAAGUUUUAUAAGGUGUAACAUUCCUUUUAAGGCAUUUUCAUUGGCCAAAUACCUUCACAUGUACAAAGUUUAUAAAAUGUACUGCUUUUGUAUUCAAGGUUAAAAAAUACAU